rnacentral:rRNA from 1 species
UACGAAGGGGGCUAGCGUUACUCGGAUUGACUGGGCGUAAAGGGCGCGUAGGCGGUUCGUACAGUCAGACGUGAAAUUCCUGGGCUCAACCUGGGGGCUGCGUUUGAUACGUGCGGGCUUGAGUUCGGAAGAGGGUCGUGGAAUUCCCAGUGUAGAGGUGAAAUUCGUAGAUAUUGGGAAGAACACCGGUGGCGAAGGCGGCGACCUGGUCCGAUACUGACGUGAGGCGCGAAAGCGUGGGGAGCAAACAGG